rnacentral:rRNA from 1 species
AAGAUUUGACCGUACUGUAAACCGACACAGGUGAUCAGGUAGAGAAUACCAAGGCGCUUGAGAGAACUUGGGUGAAGGAACUAGGCAAAAUGGUACCGUAACUUCGGGAGAAGGUACGCUCCCUUUGGUGAAGCAUUUACUGCGUAAGCUAGGGGGAGUCGAAGAAACCAGGUGGCUGCAACUGUUUAUUAAAAACAUAGCACUCUGCAAACACGUAAGUGGACGUAUAGGGUGUGACGCCUGCCCGGUGCCGGAAGGUUAAUUGAUGGGGUUAG